AGUCACACUGGGACUGAGACACUGCCCAGACUCCUACGGGAGGCUGCAGUCGAGAAUCUUCCGCAAUGGGCGCAAGCCUGACGGAGCAAUGCUGCGUGCCGGAUGAAGGCCUUCGGGUCGUAAACGGCUGUCACUCGGGACGAAUUUUGACGGUACCGAGAGAGGAAGCCACGGCUAACUACGUGCCAGCAGCCGCGGUAAUACGUAGGUGGCGAGCGUUAUUCGGAAUUAUUGGGCCUAGAGGGUUCGUAGGGGGUAAUGUAAGUCCGGUGUGAAAUCUCGAGGCUCAACCUCGAAACUGCAUUGGAAACUGCGUUACUUGAGUGUCAGAGAGGAAAGCGGAAUUCCUGGUGUAGCGGUGGAAUGCGUAGAUAUCAGGAAGAACACCGACGGCGAAGGCAGCUUUCUGGCUGACAACUGACCCUGAUGAACGAAAGCUAGGGUAGCGAACAGGAUUAGAUACCCUGGUAGUCCUAGCUGUAAACGUUGUGCACUGGAUGUGGGCGGAUUUGGUCCCGUCUGUGUCUGAGCGAAGGCGUUAAGUGCACCGCCUGGGGACUACGGCCGCAAGGCUAAAACUCAAAGGAAUUGACGGGGGCCCGCACAAGCGGUGGAGCAUGUGGCUCAAUUCGAGGCAACGCGAAGAACCUUACCUGGGUUUGACAUAUACCUGACCGCCGGUGAGAGCCGGUUUCUCUUUGAGCAGGUAUACAGGUGCUGCAUGGCUGUCGACAGCUCGUGCUGUGAAGUGUUCGGUUAAGUCCGGCAACGAGCGCAACCCACGCUGUUAGUUACCAUCAGGUGAAGCUGGGGACUCUAACAGGACUGCCCGUGCUAAGCGGGAGGAAGGCGUGGACGACGUCAAGUCCGCAUGGCCCUUACGCCCAGGGCUGCACACGUGCUACAAUGGCCGGUACAGAGGGUCGCCACUCUGCGAAGAGGAGCUAAUCCCGAAAACCGGCCCCAGUUCGGAUUGGAGUCUGCAAUUCGACUCCAUGAAGUAGGAAUCGCUAGUAAAGGCGUAUCAGCAACGGCGCCUUGAAUCUGUUCCCGGGCAUGUACACACCGCCCGUCACAUCAUGGAAGCCGGCUGCACCCGAAGUCG
rnacentral:rRNA from 1 species